GAACUGUUAGCUCAGUUGGUUCAGAGCGCCGCCUUGACAGGGCGGAGGUCGCCGGUUCGACCCCGGCACAGUUCA
rnacentral:tRNA from 1 species